CAAAAGACUCUCGGCAACGGAUAUCUCGGCUCUUGCAUCGAUGAAGAACGUAGCGAAAUGCGAUACUUGGUGUGAAUUGCAGAAUCCCGUGAACCAUCGAGUCUUUGAACGCAAGUUGCGCCCGAAGCCAUUAGGCCGAGGGCACGCCUGCCUGGGUGUCGCAC
rnacentral:rRNA from 2 species